rnacentral:rRNA from 1 species
CUGGCGGCGUGCUUAACACAUGCAAGUCGAACGCUGAAGCCGCUUCGGUGGUGGAUGAGUGGCGAACGGGUGAGUAACACGUGGGCAAUCUGCCCUGUACUUCGGGAUAAGCCUUGGAAACGGGGUCUAAUACCGGAUAGGACACUGCUUCGCAUGGGGUGGUGUGGAAAGCUUCGGCGGUACGGGAUGAGCCCGCGGCCUAUCAGCUUGUUGGUGGGGUGAUGGCCUACCAAGGCGACGACGGGUAGCCGGCCUGAGAGGGUGACCGGCCACACUGGGACUGAGACACGGCCCAGACUCCUACGGGAGGCAGCAGUGGGGAAUAUUGCACAAUGGGCGGAAGCCUGAUGCAGCGACGCCGCGUGAGGGAUGACGGCCUUCGGGUUGUAAACCUCUUUCGCCCGGGACGAAGCGUAACAGUGACGGUACCGGGAGAAGAAGCACCGGCUAACUACGUGCCAGCAGCCGCGGUAAUACGUAGGGUGCGAGCGUUGUCCGGAAUUAUUGGGCGUAAAGAGCUCGUAGGCGGUGUGUCACGUCUGCCGUGAAAACCUGCGGCUUAACCGUGGGCGUGCGGUGGAUACGGGCAUCACUUGAGUUCGGCAGGGGAGACUGGAAUUCCUGGUGUAGCGGUGGAAUGCGCAGAUAUCAGGAGGAACACCGGUGGCGAAGGCGGGUCUCUGGGCCGAUACUGACGCUGAGGAGCGAAAGCGUGGGGAGCGAACAGGAUUAGAUACCCUGGUAGUCCAC